GACGAACGCUGGCGGCGUGCCUAAUACAUGCAAGUAGAACGCACAGUUUAUACCGUAGCUUGCUACACCAUAGACUGUGAGUUGCGAACGGGUGAGUAACGCGUAGGUAACCUGCCUGGUAGCGGGGGAUAACUAUUGGAAACGAUAGCUAAUACCGCAUAAUAUUAAUUAUUGCAUGAUAAUUAAUUGAAAGGUGCAAUUGCACCACUACCAGAUGGACCUGCGUUGUAUUAGCUAGUAGGUGAGGUAACGGCUCACCUCGGCGACGAUACAUAGCCGACCUGAGAGGGUGAUCGGCCACACUGGGACUGAGACACGGCCCAGACUCCUACGGGAGGCAGCAGUAGGGAAUCUUCGGCAAUGGACGAAAGUCUGACCGAGCAACGCCGCGUGAGUGAAGAAGGUUUUCGGAUCGUAAAGCUCUGUUGUAAGAGAAGAACGGGUGUGAGAGUGGAAAGUUCACACUGUGACG
rnacentral:rRNA from 1 species